rnacentral:rRNA from 1 species
ACUGAAACAUCUAAGUACCCAGAGGAAAAGAAAUCAACCGAGAUUCCGAUAGUAGUGGCGAGCGAAUUCGGAAGAGCCUUCUAGUGAUAGUCGACGAGUUAACAAAACGGCAUGGAAAGGCCGGCCAUAGUAGGUGAUAGCCCUGUAUGUGAAAACUUGUCGGUGGUACUGAGCUAGAGAAAAGUAGGGCGGGACACGUGUAAUCCUGUCUGAAUAUGGGGGGACCAUCCUCCAAGGCUAAAUACUCGUAAUCGACCGAUAGUGAACCAGUACCGUGAGGGAAAGGCGAAAAGAACCCCGGGAGGGGAGUGAAAUAGAUCCUGAAACCGUAUGCUUACAAAAAGUCGGAGCCUCGUAAGGGGUGACGGCGUACCUUUUGUAUAAUGGGUCAGCGACUUACAUUCAGUGGCAAGCUUAACCGAGUAGGGAAGGCGUAGAGAAAUCGAGUCCGAAUAGGGCGUUUUUAGUCGCUGGGUGUAGACCCGAAACCAAGUGAUCUAACCAUGGCCAGGAUGAAGGUGCCGUAACAGGUACUGGAGGUCCGAACCGACUGAUGUUGCAAAAUCAGCGGAUGAGCUGUGGUUAGGGGUGAAAGGCUAAACAAACUUGGAAAUAGCUGGUUCUCUCCGAAAACUAUUUAGGUAGUGCCUCAAGCAUUACCUGCGGGGGUAGAGCACUGUUUU